rnacentral:rRNA from 1 species
GUAGAGCACUGUUUCGGCUAGGGGGCCAUCCCGGCUUACCAACCCGAUGCAAACUGCGAAUACCGGAGAAUGUUAUCACGGGAGACACACGGCGGGUGCUAACGUCCGUCGUGAAGAGGGAAACAACCCAGACCGCCAGCUAAGGUCCCAAAGUCAUGGUUAAGUGGGAAACGAUGUGGGAAGGCCCAGACAGCCAGGAUGUUGGCUUAGAAGCAGCCAUCAUUUAAAGAAAGCGUAAUAGCUCACUGGUCGAGUCGGCCUGCGCGGAAGAUGUAACGGGGCUAAACCAUGCACCGAAGCUGCGGCAGCGACACUGUGUGUUGUUGGGUAGGGGAGCGUUCUGUAAGCCUGUGAAGGUGGCCUGUGAGGGUUGCUGGAGGUAUCAGAAGUGCGAAUGCUGACAUAAGUAACGAUAAAGCGGGUGAAAAGCCCGCUCGCCGGAAGACCAAGGGUUCCUGUCCAACGUUAAUCGGGGCAGGGUGAGUCGACCCCUAAGGCGAGGCCGAAAGGCGUAGUCGAUGGGAAACGGGUUAAUAUUCCCGUACUUGGUGUUACUGCGAAGGGGGGACGGAGAAGGCUAUGUUGGCCGGGCGACGGUUGUCCCGGUUUAAGCGUGUAGGUGUGUGUUCCAGGUAAAUCCGGUU